UAGGGAAUCUUCCACAAUGGACGCAAGUCUGAUGGAGCAACGCCGCGUGAGUGAGGAAGGCCUUCGGGUCGUAAAGCUCUGUUGCCAGGGAAGAACGCAUGGGAGAGUAACUGCUCCCGUGGUGACGGUACCUGAGAAGAAAGCCCCGGCUAACUACGUGCCAGCAGCCGCGGUAAUACGUAGGGGGCAAGCGUUGUCCGGAAUUAUUGGGCGUAAAGCGCGCGCAGGCGGUUCUUUAAGUCUGGUGUCUAAGUGCGGGGCUCAACCCCGUGAUGCACUGGAAACUGGGGAACUUGAGUGCAGAAGAGGAGAGCGGAAUUCCACGUGUAGCGGUGAAAUGCGUAGAGAUGUGGAGGAACACCAGUGGCGAAGGCGGCUCUCUGGACUGUAACUGACGCUGAGGCGCGAAAGCGUGGGGAGCAAACAGGAUUAGAUACCCCCGUAGUCC
rnacentral:rRNA from 1 species